GAACGACUAUUGCUCCCGUUCCUUUCAACUUUUCUUUCUUAAUGCUAUAAUUAUAAAAUGUGAAAUGAUGUAUAAUGUUAUUGUAUGAAUACCAAUCUCCGAUUGUUUGUUGGAUCUAGCUGAUCUGAUCUACUAGUGUUUUGGUUGGCCUGGUCUUAGGGAUAAAAACUGUAGAAAAUGAAGAUCAUAGAUAAAAUACAUGAAGCCGCAGCUGAUCCAAAUAGGGUGGUGUUCUCGUUUGAGUUCUUCCCGCCCAAGACUGAGGAUGGGGUGGACAAUUUGUUCGAGAGGAUGGACCGCAUGGUGGCGCACAAUCCCUCGUUCUGUGAUAUCACCUGGGGUGCUGGUGGAACCACCGCUGAUCUAACUUUGGAAAUUGCCAACAAGAUGCAGAACAUUGUCUGUGUGGAUACCAUGAUGCACCUCACCUGCACCAACAUGCCUGUUGAGAAGAUAGACCAUGCUCUCCACACCAUCAAGUCCAAUGGCCUCCAGAAUGUGCUUGCUCUUCGAGGUGACCCCCCACAUGGCCAGGACAAAUUUGUGCAGGUUGAAGGCGGCUUUGCCUGCGCACGCG
rnacentral:lncRNA from 1 species